UCUUAAAUAGUACAUACUCAUAGUUGCCAAGAUGAAGAUUAGUUUUGCUUGUCUUGUAUUGUUAAGUUGUUUGGGUACAGAAAUUUUUGCAAAAAACUAUUACCUUCAGAACACAUUAUCACUAAGUUGCAAUUGGCAACUGUAAAUACCAGAAAUGAACAAUAUCUUCUUGAGAAAACAAUCAAAAAAGCAGGUAUGGAGAGAGUGUCUUUUUGGUUAGGUGGAACAGAUUUAUCUCUAGAAGGCAGAUUUGUUUGGAUGGCAACUGGUGAGCCAUUUGUUUACACUAACUGGUUGCUACCUUAUCAACCGGACAACAAUGAAAACAUCGAGCAUUGCGUACAUAUUUGGCCAGAUCUUACAAAUACAACAGUUUGGAACGAUGCACCGUGUCAUCAUGGCAAAUAUUUUAUAUGCGAGGAACAGCCAAAGAAUUGUUACAACAAUGAAGAACUUUCAGUUGUUUGCGAAGUGCUGCCAAAGAAUUAAAGAUGUUGUCAUGUUUUAUUAUUAGAUUUUAAUAGUAAAUAAUUAGUUUAAUUAGAUUAAUUUGUAAUCAAAAUUUCUUCGUUGAUUAGAUUUGUAAAAUUUUUAUUUUGCUUGACACUACAUAAAUUUUCAUUAAUUAUUUAAGCCAAUAAUAUUCCUAAAUAUUAAUUUUAAUUAUGUAGAUACUAUAUAAACGAAUAUAAUACCAAAAAUUUCCAAAAGUAAAA